rnacentral:lncRNA from 1 species
GGAGUCUGUCUUGGGUUCAGAGGCUGAUUGACACCCUGGCAGCCCACAAGGAAAUGUGUUUAUCUCAGAAGCAUUUGGCAGAGGUGGCACGGUCGGGGCCAAGCUUGUAGAAAGACUCCAUUUCUCAACCCAGCUUUCUACGUGGAAUUAUUUAGAGGGAAACUUUAUCAGGCGGCCUUCCAGCUCCACGUCAUCCGUCUUGCCGAGAUCCCUGGAACACCAGGAGUGAUGGAAGCGGGCUCUCCCAAGAUGCAGAGCUCAGGCCUCCCAGUGAUAAAAUGUUCUCAGCUCUCCCAAGACACCGCCCGGGGACAGUCAUUCUGCCUGGCUUUCUGCCCCAGCUACGUGGAGCUCUCACCCAGUGUGUCUGUGCCUCAUGCUGGGGAAUUCAGAAACAGAGUCCCAGUGAGAACCAGAGACCUGGUCCCUGCCCUCAGCAAGUCUGAAUUUUGCUUGAGGACACAGCUCACAUCUGUGUGCGAAAACCACUUUGGAAUACUUAUGAAGCUGCCUUGUGUCCCUUGCAA